rnacentral:rRNA from 1 species
GACGUAGGGGCCGAGCGUUGUCCGGAGUUACUGGGCGUAAAGGGCGCGCAGGCGGCCGGUCGCAUCGGCGGUGAAAGCCCCCCGCUCAACGGGGGAGGGUCCGUCGAGAUGGAUCGGCUGGAGGCAGGGAGAGGGCGGUGGAAUUCCGGGUGUAGUGGUGAAAUGCGUAGAGAUCCGGAGGAACACCAGUGGCGAAGGCGGCCGCCUGGACCUGACCUGACGCUGAGGCGCGAAGGCGUGGGGAGCGAACGGGAUUAGAAACCCCCGUAGUCC